UCCACGGUAUCGGAGAACCCGCGCUUUCUCUCCGGCUCCGGCGCGGCGGCGGUGGAGCUCCGGGAGCUGCCGCCGGGGAGGCCGAGCGUGAGCGCCGUCUCCUCGUAGUCGAGGCCGGAGACCUCCGACUCCGUCGAGCUCUUCGCUGUCUCCACGGACAUUCUAACGAAGGUAUGCUUCUCUCUUCUGAUCUAAGGUUAGGGUUUACCGAUCACUGAU
rnacentral:misc_RNA from 1 species